AACUUACAUAUUACUGUACUUUGAUAUCUUUUUUACUGAAGUUGCAAACUACGGUAUAAAUAUGAAAAUCCCUUAUAUUGGAAUUAUACUAACUUUAUUUCUUGUAACCGAAAUUUUCGUCGGAGCAGGACGUUAUAAUUGCAAAAAACUAGAUCUUGAAAAUGGAGAAGCUAGAUUACGAAGUAGGGGUCGUCUUCUUAGAUUUCGCUGUAACAAAAGAUUCAUGCUUUACGGGGCGAAAUUUGCUCUCUGUAAAAAUGAAGAAUGGACUUACCCCGCGCCUGUCUGCGUUGCGGAAGGUGAAAAAUGCCCAAAUUUAAAGAAAACUAAAGAUAUGAUGAUAACCUCAAAGCUAAAUAACGGACUUUUGAUGUAUUCCUGCAAGCCUGACUUAACGUUAAUUGGAAAUAGUACUUUGUAUUGUGAUGGGUCUAAGUGGAGAGGUGAAAUACCACAAUGCAUAUGUAAGUCAUUUAUACUUAUAUUGC